GGUGGGGGAGAGAAAACCACAUGUAUAAGAGGUACAGAAGACACCGAGGACUAAAAAUCCAGAAGGUCAAGAGUGGAGACAGUCAAUGGCUUUUCCCAGGAGGCAGCUGGACCGGUUGACAGGAGUGGCUAUGUCCUGCAUUUUGAGAGAGAUUGGGUCAUAUCCUAGAAGUUCGGAACCACUGAGCCUGCUUUGCUGAGGUCAUACCGAUGAGCUGAUGGUAGUGUGAGAUUCCAACCCAGCAGCAACUAAGAAGACAUCCAGCAACUGAUUUUUAACAAGGAUCUUCAAAUCAGUUCUCUAGGAGGUGUGAGGAUUGCUUUCACCUAUGCAGAAACGCAAGUAUGGAGCUCUACACUGAUCGCCUCAGGAAGACAGGAUCUCUAAGUCUCACCCAGUGGCCUCUGGUGUCUCACCUUCCUUUUUCUUUUUUAAAUCCUUCCCUGACUGAUCCUAUGCCAGAAAUUUCUCCCUUUUCAUCUGCAGGGUGUCAUUGGAAAAGUCAGUGGAUUUGGGGCCUGAUAGACCCAAGUCCAACCCCUUCAGCAGGUGAGGCAGUGUAGUGCUAAUGUAACAGGGCGAGAGCCCUUCAUGGAGCUGAGGCAGCCAUGAUGGUCCCUUCUCACCCAUUCUUGCGAUCAUGCCAGAAAGAUUUCAGACAUAUCACUGAGAGUAG